GACGUAGGGGGCAAGCGUUAUUCGGAAUCAUUGGGCGUAAAGCGCUCGUAGGCGGAUCGAACAGUCGGUGAAGAAAGACCUGGGCUCAACUCAGGGAACGGCACCGAUACUAUCGGUCUUGAGGCAAUCAGAGGAUGAUGGAAUUCCCGGUGUAGCGGUGAAAUGCGUAGAUAUUGGGAGGAACACCAGUGGCGAAGGCGGCUCACUGGACCGGUUCUGACGCUGAGG
rnacentral:rRNA from 1 species